GGAGGGUGCAAGCGUUAAUCGGAAUUACUGGGCGUAAAGCGCGCGUAGGUGGUUUGUUAAGUGGAAUGUGAAAGCCCUGGGCUCAACCUAGGAAUUGCAUCCCAAACUGGCAGACUAGAGUACAAGAGGGGUGUGGAAUUUCCUGUGUAGCGGUGAAAUVGCAGAUAUAGGAAGGAACAUCAGUGGCGAAGGCGACGAAUGGCUUGAUACUGACACUGAGGUGCGAAACGGUGGGGAGCAAACAGGAUUAGAUACCCUGGUAGUCCACGCCGUAAACGAUGUAGACCUUAGCCGUUGGGGACUUGAU
rnacentral:rRNA from 1 species